rnacentral:rRNA from 1 species
CCCGGGGGACAUCCUUGGACGGGCUAGUGGCGCGGGGUGAGUAAUACAUCUAGAACGUGCCCAAUCGUGGGGGAUGCGCAACGAAAGCUGUGCUAAUACCGCAGACGAUCUACUGAUGAAAGCAGGGGAUCGCAAGACCUUGCGCGAAUGGAGCGGCCGAUGGCAGAUUAGGUAGUUGGUGAGGUAAAGGCUCACCAAGCCUUCGAUCUGUAGCUGGUCUGAGAGGACGACCAGCCACACUGGGACUGAGACACGGCCCAAACUCCUACGGGAGGCACCAGUGGGGAAUUUUGGACAAUGGGCGCAAGCCUGAUCCAGCCAUGCCGCGUGCAGGAUGAAGGCCUUCGGGUUGUAAACUGCUUUUGUACGGAACGAAACGGCUCUCUCUAAUAAAGAGGGCUAAUGACGGUACCGUAAGAAUAAGCACCGGCUAACUACGUGCCAGCAGCCGCGGUAAUACAUAUGGUGCAAGCGUUAAUCUCAAUUACUGGGCGUAAAGCGUGCGCAUGCAGUGAUGUAAUACAGUUGUGAAAUCCCCGGGCUCAACCUGGGAACUGCAUCUGUGACUGCAUUGCUGGAGUACGGAACAGGGGGAUGGAAUUCCGCGUGUAGCACUGAAAUGCGUACAUAUGCGGAGGAACACCGAUGGCGAACGCGAUCCCCUGGGCCUGUACUGACGCUCAUGCACGAAAGCGUGGGGAGCAAACAGGAUUAGAUACCCUGGUAGUCCACGCCCUAAACGAUGUCAACUGGUUGUUGGGUCUUCACUGACUCAGUAACGAAGCUGACGCGUGAAGUUGACCGCCUGGGCGAGUACAGCCCGCAAGGUUGAAUACUCAGAGCAUUUGACAGGGGACCCCGCCACAAGUCGGCUGGAUGCAUUGCUGGUUUAAUUACGAUUGCAACGCUGCAAAACCGUGACCCAACAUUCUGACGUGGCUCCGCGUAGUUUUGUGUCCAGCAGCGAUGCUGCGCGUC